rnacentral:rRNA from 1 species
GUUGUAUGGUUAAGUGACUAAGCGUACACGGUGGAUGCCUUGGCAGUCAGAGGCGAUGAAGGACGUAUUAACUUGCGAUAAGCCCAGAUUAGGUAGUAAAAACCAUUUGAGUCUGGGAUUUCCGAAUGGGGAAACCCACUUACAUAAGUAAGUAUCGCUGCGUGAAUACAUAGCGCAGCGAGGCGAACCGGGGGAACUGAAACAUCUAAGUACCCCGAGGAAAAGAAAUCAACCGAGAUUCCGAAAGUAGCGGCGAGCGAAAUUGGACUAGCCCUUAAGCUUUUUAUGCGUCAGGUGAAACUUCUGGAAAGUUGUGCGAUACAGGGUGAUAGCCCCGUAACCGGCAACGCAUAUAAAGUGAAAUCGAGUAGGGCGGGACACGUGAUAUCCUGUCUGAAUAUGGGGGGACCAUCCUCCAAGGCUAAAUACUACUGACUGACCGAUAGUGAACCAGUACCGUGAGGGAAAGGCGAAAAGAACCCCUGUGAGGGGAGUGAAAUAGAACCUGAAACCGUGUACGUACAAGCAGUAGGAGCACCUUCGUGGUGUGACUGCGUACCUUUUGUAUAAUGGGUCAGCGACUUAUAUUCAGUGGCAAGGUUAACCAUCUAGGGGAGCCGUAGCGAAAGCGAGUGUUAACUGCGCGACUCAGUCGCUGGAUAUAGACCCGAAACCAGGUGAUCUAGCCAUGGGCAGGUUGAAGAUUGAGUAACAUCAAUUGGAGGACCGAACCGACUAAUGUUGAAAAAUUAGCGGAUGACUUGUGGCUAGGGGUGAAAGGCCAAUCAAACCUGGAGAUAGCUGGUUCUCCCCGAAAGCUAUUUAGGUAGCGCCUCGGACGAAUACUACUGGGGGUAGAGCACUGUUAAGGCUAGGGGGUCAUCCCGACUUACCAACCCUUUGCAAACUCCGAAUACCAGUAAGUACUAUCCGGGAGACACACGGCGGGUGCUAACGUCCGUCGUGGAGAGGGAAACAACCCAGACCGCCAGCUAAGGUCCCAAAUUACUACUAAGUGGGAAACGAUGUGGGAAGGCUCAGACAGCCAGGAUGUUGGCUUAGAAGCAGCCAUCAUUUAAAGAAAGCGUAAUAGCUCACUGGUCGAGUCGGCCUGCGCGGAAGAUGUAACGGGGCUAAGUAGUAAACCGAAGCUGCGGCAAUGCACUUUAGUGCAUUGGGUAGGGAGCGUUCUGUAAGCGGUUGAAGGUGUGUGGUAACGCAUGCUGGACGUAUCAGAAGUGCGAAUGCUGACAUGAGUAACGAUAAAGGGGGUGAAAAACCUCCUCGCCGGAAGACCAAGGGUUCCUGUCCAACGUUAAUCGGGGCAGGGUAAGUCGACCCUAAGGCGAGGCCGAAAGGCGUAGUCGAUGGGAAACGGGUUAAUAUUCCCGUACUUCUUACAAUUGCGAUGGGGGACGGAGAAGGCUAGGUGGGCCUGGCGACGGUUGUCCAGGUUCAAGUGCGUAGGCUGAGAAAUUAGGUAAAUCCGGUUUCUCUUAAGGCUGAGACACGACGUCGAGCUACUACGGUAGUGAAGUCAUUGAUGCCAUGCUUCCAGGAAAAGCCUCUAAGCUUCAGAUUGUAAGGAAUCGUACCCCAAACCGACACAGGUGGUCGGGUAGAGAAUACCAAGGCGCUUGAGAGAACUCGGGUGAAGGAACUAGGCAAAAUGGUACCGUAACUUCGGGAGAAGGUACGCUCUUGAUGGUGAAGUCCCUCGCGGAUGGAGCUGACGAGAGUCGCAGAUACCAGGUGGCUGCAACUGUUUAUUAAAAACACAGCACUGUGCAAAAUCGUAAGAUGACGUAUACGGUGUGACGCCUGCCCGGUGCCGGAAGGUUAAUUGAUGGGGUUAGACUUCGGUCGAAGCUCUUGAUCGAAGCCCCGGUAAACGGCGGCCGUAACUAUAACGGUCCUAAGGUAGCGAAAUUCCUUGUCGGGUAAGUUCCGACCUGCACGAAUGGCGUAAUGAUGGCCACGCUGUCUCCACCCGAGACUCAGUGAAAUUGAAAUCGCUGUGAAGAUGCAGUGUACCCGCGGCUAGACGGAAAGACCCCGUGAACCUUUACUACAGCUUGGCACUGAACAUUGACCCUACAUGUGUAGGAUAGGUGGGAGGCUUUGAAGCAAGUACGCCAGUAUUUGUGGAGCCGUCCUUGAAAUACCACCCUUGUAGUGUUGAUGUUCUAACGUUGACCCCUAAUCGGGGUUGCGGACAGUGCCUGGUGGGUAGUUUGACUGGGGCGGUCUCCUCCCAAAGAGUAACGGAGGAGCACGAAGGUGGGCUAAUCACGGUUGGACAUCGUGAGGUUAGUGCAAUGGCAUAAGCCCGCUUGACUGCGAGAAUGACAAUUCGAGCAGGUGCGAAAGCAGGUCAUAGUGAUCCGGUGGUUCUGUAUGGAAGGGCCAUCGCUCAACGGAUAAAAGGUACUCCGGGGAUAACAGGCUGAUACCGCCCAAGAGUUCAUAUCGACGGCGGUGUUUGGCACCUCGAUGUCGGCUCAUCACAUCCUGGGGCUGAAGUCGGUCCCAAGGGUAUGGCUGUUCGCCAUUUAAAGUGGUACGCGAGCUGGGUUUAGAACGUCGUGAGACAGUUCGGUCCCUAUCUGCCGUGGGCGUUGGAAGAUUGAAGGGGGCUGCUCCUAGUACGAGAGGACCGGAGUGGACGAACCUCUGGUGUUCGGGUUGUGUCGCCAGACGCAUUGCCCGGUAGCUAAGUUCGGAAUCGAUAACCGCUGAAAGCAUCUAAGCGGGAAGCGAGCCCUGAGAUGAGUCUUCCCUGAUACUUUAAGUAUCCUAAAGGGUUGUUCGAGACUAGAACGUUGAUAGGCAGGGUGUGUAAGCGUUGUGAGGCGUUGAGCUAACCUGUACUAAUUGCCCGUGAGGCUUAACCAUACAACACCCAAGGGGUUU